rnacentral:rRNA from 1 species
UACGUAGGGUGCAAGCGUUAAUCGGAAUUACUGGGCGUAAAGCGUGCGCAGGCGGUUGUGCAAGACCGAUGUGAAAUCCCCGGGCUUAACCUGGGAACUGCAUUGGUGACUGUACGGCUAGAGUGUGUCAGAGGGGGGUAGAAUUCCACGUGUAGCAGUGAAAUGCGUAGAGAUGUGGAGGAAUACCGAUGGCGAAGGCAGCCCCCUGGGAUAACACUGACGCUCAUGCACGAAAGCGUGGGGAGCGAACAGG